UGCCGAUCCAUUCCUCCAGGGGACCGCAGGCGCCGCCAUCCCCUGCGGCAACCGCCUACCCCUCCCCUACUACGCCGCCGGCCACCACCACUCUCCCUCGCCGCCAUACCGUGCGACAACACCCCAUCCCACACCUGUCGUCCGGCUCCGGCCACCAUCCCCUGCGACUAUCCCCUAACCCACACCUGCCGUCCGCCGCCAUCCCCUGAGACAACCCCCUACCCAACACCUGACGUCCGCCGCCGGAUACAACUACACUCCUCCGCCACUAUCCCCUGCGACAACCCCUACCCAACACCUGCCGUCCGCCACGGCCACCACGAUUCUCCUCCGCUGCCAUCCCCUGCCACAACCCCCUACCAAACACCUGCAGUCCGCGACCGGCUACCACGACUCUCAUCCGCCGACACCCCUGCGACAGCCCCACACCGCACCCCUGCCAUUCUCCGCCGGCCGGCACCGCUGUCCUUGGUUGGCACCACCUCAUUGCUUGAGCUAUUAUGCUUGGCUGCGUUUUGAGUGAAAUAAUCUCGCAGGAGCCGUAGCGCCGGCGAACAGUCCUUUUCCUUGUUCAAUUUGAAGAUAUCGAUUUUGGUUUGUGCAGCAAUCGUAGUCCAAAAGGAGUCAUUUUUAUUCGGAGUCUGUCUGUUGAGAAGUUGUAAUCCGGAUCCUCCUCCCUUUUCCUCUGACUAAUAAUCUCCUCCCUUUUUGGAGGAGAGCCUGCCAGCGAUUAGUCCGCCGGCCUCAAUAAAUAGAGAAGUGGGAGGAGUAGGAGGGGGCGCUUGUCGAUCCAAUAAGUUGCCAUCCCCGAUUUUGUUUUCUCUGGCGAUUAGUCUGCUUUGUUGGGCCGAUCUAAAUAAACAGAGGAGCAGGAGGGCGGGGCAUUCAAUUAAGGGCAGAUCAGGCGUCACAGAUCUAAUAGAAGACCUGAUUAGCACAGGCGUCCUAACAUCAACAAGACCAGUUGCUUACCCGAUCAGCCAUGACAAAGAAAAGGAGUCAUCGCAGACGCAAUCUAAAUGCAAUGCAGAAAACAACUCGCACAGAAGACGCUGCUGUCAGUGCAAACGAAGACAGGCUUAGCAAGCUGCCGCAUGACCUUCUGCUCAACAUCCUGGAGAGGGUGGACACGCUCGAUGCAAUAAGGACCUGCAUCCUCUCCAAGCAAAUGCUUAAGCUCCCCACCAUGCUCUCGCAGUUCUUCCUAAGUUGUAGUUCCAUUCCAGGUUUCCAGGAUAAAACUCGUGUUAUCACCCCCAGUGACGUGCUUCGAACCAACAGUGUUGUGGCUCAUGUUACGGAUAACAUCUUGAGCACAAGGAGCCAGGAGAUCACCAUCAGGAAACUCAAAAUCAGAUUCGUCUUGAGGCUACAUGACUCUGUCAGCAUUGGCAAAUCUGUUGCCCGUGCCAUGGCAACCCAGAAGGUUGGUGCAGCUGAAUUUGAGGUCCUAACGGAGAAGCCUUAUGAGUGGUGCUCUCCUGCAGAUCUCCUCCAUUGUGCACAUCAGUUCAAUGAUUUUGUCGGUGCUUGUCAGGAUGCAUUUGCUGGCCUGAGGCGCCUGUGGUUGCGCAAUAUGAGGUUUAGUGAACUGGACAUCCAUAACAUACUCAGCACUUGCAAGCUCUUGGAGUCACUGCGUUUAACCGAUUGCGACUCAGGGAUCCAUUCUGUGCUGCAAGUAGAACAUGGUGAACUUGUUGAGCUUGAGGUCGAAUAUGGAAAAUUUGAGAGUGUGGAACUGAUAUAUGUACCAAAACUCCAACGGGUGAGAUAUAAGAGUUGGUCCUCUUAUAAAAAUCCUGUGUAUUUUGGUUUUGUACCACAGUUUACAAAGCUUAGCCUCAGUAAAACUGGUGUCUGUUUGGAUAAGACUCUUCAGUUAAGCCAGCUUCUUGCUAAUGUUCCUUCAAUAAGCGAUCUGCAUCUGAAUUUUGAAAGUGAGAAGACUUGGGUCCUGCCAGAAUGUCUGAAACUGCUCAAGCCUGUGCUCAGCAAAUUACAGCACGUCAGUCUGGAUCAUCUUCCUGAAGGAUGUGAUUUAGCUUGGACAAUGUUUAUUCUUGAAGCUGCACCCUUUCUAAGAGAGCUGUGCAUCACAGUAUGGGACCAUUGGUGCAUCAUGAUGACAGACAAAGACUUUCGAAAGGAAAAUGGCUACUGCGAAAAGGCAGAUGUGAAGUGGAAGCCAUAUGACCCUGAUUUCAAGCACAAGAAUCUAGUUAAGCUCACCAUCUAUGGCUUCCAAGCCGACAACAACUUUGUGCGGUACAUUAGGAGCGUCAUGGUACAUGCAGUUAAUAUGACAGAGAUAUCUCUUCAUGACAGGAAGGUAUGUGGGCGCUGUGGUACCUUGGGUCUCAAGGUUUGUCCAUCAAACUAUCCACGGACUGCCAAGAAGAGGGGGCAGAUAAUUGAGAUGGUUGGUUUGGCUUCACAGCAACAGAUCUACUUUCAGCCCUAAUUGAAAAAUGAUUGGUUUUUCCAUCAAGCUAUGCAUGAGAUGGUUGUUUGGCUUCACAGCAAGAGAUCUACUUUCGGUCCUAAUUGAAAAAUGAUUUGCGUGAUAUUUAAAAGAUAUGUAUUUCGCAAAUCAUCUGCCCUGUCAUCCUUUAGUUGAAGCAGUUCCUGAACUCCAUAAUUCUGUAGUUACUGAGUCUGUACUCUUGCUUUCCCUUAAACUGAAGCUCUGUAUUAUUGCCUAAUCGAGGAAAUAUUUUAAGUUGGAACAACAUAUCCGUGGUCCCUUUUUUUAAUGUAAAAUUAAAAUGCUUGAUGCAAUUUAUGUUCUUCAUCUUGAUGCAAUCUACUACAUUAAAAUGUGAUACUAUAGAUACCAUGAUUAGAUACUUUCAAGUAGGAACAGGAUGUCUGUUGCUGCUUUGAUGUAAGGGUGAUGAGAGGGGUGAAUUUGUACGUAUAGCAGUGCUCAUUUCAUCCUGACUCGUUGCUAAGGAUGUCUGUUGCUGCUUUGAUGCAAGGGUGAUGAGAGGUGUGAAUUUGUACGUAUAACAGUGCUCAUUUCAUCCUGACUCGUUGCUAAUUGACCUCAGUGGUACCACAUUUAGUACUGUAUGUAUACUUGUACUACUUAAUCUCUCUCUGAACAUGUUCCCCAAUUGUAAUCAGGAGUAGUGUAUGGAGGCAGAACACUUUUUUCCAAA